AUACGGAGGGUGCAAGCGUUACUCGGAAUCACUGGGCGUAAAGCGCGCGCAGGCGGCUAUUUAAGUUGGAUGUGAAAGCCUACGGCUCAACCGUAGAACUGCAUCCAAAACUAUUUAGCUAGAGUGUGGGAGAGGAAGAUGGAAUUAGUUGUGUAGGGGUAAAAUCCGUAGAGAUAACUAGGAAUACCAAAAGCGAAGGCAAUCUUCUGGAACACUACUGACGCUGAGGCGCGAAAGCGUGGGGAGCAAACGGGAUUAGAAACCCGUGUAGUCC
rnacentral:rRNA from 1 species